AUUAAGCCCCCUAUUGUGGCUACAACAGCGUGUGUGAACAAACUUUUUCUUUUCUUUGUUCUAUACUUUUUGUUAUUUACAAUUUGUGUUAGUACAUCCAUUAAUCUAUCCUAUUUUUCACUGUCUGGGUUUGCUGGCUCUGGAAGCAUAUAUAUGGACCAUCAUGUUUUUGAAUAUGUUUCCUAAAGUACUUACGUACUUCUGUGGAAAAGUAUUUGGCCCCUUGAAAAGACAUUCCUACUCUUUUACUCACCCAAGUAAGAACCCAAUUUAAAUCAAUUUGCAACUAAAGUAGC